GACGAACGCUGGCGGCGUGCUUAACACAUGCAAGUCGAACGGAAAGGCCCUUCGGGGUACUCGAGUGGCGAACGGGUGAGUAACACGUGGGUGAUCUGCCCUGCACUUUGGGAUAAGCCUGGGAAACUGGGUCUAAUACCGAAUAGGACCACGCUCUUCAUGGGGUGUGGUGGAAAGCUUUUGCGGUGUGGGAUGGGCCCGCGGCCUAUCAGCUUGUUGGUGGGGUAAUGGCCUACCAAGGCGACGACAGGUAGCCGGCCUGAGAGGGUGACCGGCCACACUGGGACUGGGAUACGGCCCAGACUCCUACGGGAGGCAGCAGUGGGGAAUAUUGCACAAUGGGCGCAAGCCUGAUGCAGCGACGCCGCGUGAGGGAUGACGGCCUUCGGGUUGUAAACCUCUUUCAGUACCGACGAAGCGCAAGUGACGGUAGGUACAGAAGAAGGACCGGCCAACUACGUGCCAGCCGCCGCGGUAAUAC
rnacentral:rRNA from 1 species